GCCCGAGUGGUGAAAUCGGUAGACACAGCGGACUUAAAAUCCGCCGCCCUUCACCGGGCGUGGCAGUUCGACUCUGCUCUCGGGCA
rnacentral:tRNA from 1 species